GGAUUGCCUAAGUCUUUAUAUUUAGCACUUUUGCCUUAUACUCGGUUGAUGUGGGACAAUAUACUUCUCUCACCAUGCAUGAACAUUUGGAGUGAAGUUUGCAAGAUUGAACACUUGCGGGUGGCCAAACAUCGAGACGAGUUGGCUCCGAUACUAUGAUAAGAAAAUGGAUUGAACCUAACUUACUCUUAAAAGCUAGCUUAAGGAGAGAGGAUUGCCCAAAUCUUUAUAAAGGGCACAUUACCUACAUACCUAAUCGAUGUGUGAUCCUUAACAAUAGUCG
rnacentral:misc_RNA from 1 species